AUAGAUGGGCUGGGGUGAGAGCAAACUGCUUCCACCCCAGGUGCUGAAGAGCUCCUCCCCGACCGGGGGUCUCUGUCUGGCCCCAGCAUCUGGACUCCAGUAGCAGCCAGUGGCUGCUGUGUUUACAGGGAGUGGACAAGCAAACCGAGGGGCUGCAGCCGGGAGGGGAGCACGGAGAAGGGCUCGGGACAGAGGGAGUUCGGAUUCUGGCCAUGCAGCCGGCACCAAAUCCUGGAGACCUAUGCAUGCUGCACAGCGUGGUCCUUGCUUCUGCGUUGCUUACCGAGGUGUUUGUUCAGCUAAACCCUCACCCAGAGCUAUGCCGGGAAAGGGAAAAGGCACCUACGCCGUCCUGUGUUGUCAUCCCGGCAAGAAGGGGCAGGAAGGCACUCCAGAGCUCGGAUGAAACCCUAGUGAGGACAGCCAGCAGCCAGCCCUGGAGUGCAGCGCUGAGACGAAAUCUGGGCUAAGGGCACACGAAGGAUGGGGCACUUGCCUGCCUGAGCUCCUGGGUUCUCCCUCAGCACCCACAAAAAUAGAUUUUUGAGUAAACACGUUUGGAACUCUACUGUCAAUGAAAGCUAUAAAGGCACGAGGGUGUGACAAUACUGCUCAGCAGGCUGUUUGCCUGCAGCAGGGAGUGGCCAUGGUCUCUUGCAUUUUAGUUCCAGUCCUUACAAACUUUGGGUUGCACUGCUGGAAUCCCUGUGAGGAAAUCAGCUCCCUCAACACCAGAGCCCAAGGAGAUUUUCAGAGUAUUCAAUGCAUCUGUUUUCCCAUCCCUUACGGAGACUCAGCACCAAAGGAAGUUACUCAUAGGAGAAAGUCUUUUUCAAUGGGAAAAAGAUGGCAGUACGAGAUGAUACGGAUCCUUUGAUGUAGACAUGCUAGGAAGGAAGCUGGGCCAGACACUGCGAGGCACUCACUCCUGCACAGCCACAGACCGGGGCUUUGGCCGAAGGCAGUGAGCCAUUGGUGUGGAGAGCAGUGUCCUGCACAGAGCAGGACCGCGGGGUCUUGUUGAUUCCCAGUGGUCUAAAGCCCAGGAAUUGUCAUCAGCGAGUGAGACGGCUUUACAAGGUGUUUCUGUCUGUGGUGGUCGUGGUUAACUCAUCCUAGAAGGGGCUUGCCUUGCUCUCCCUCCGCGGCCACUGCCCUGUGCAAGACACCUGGCCUGUGCUGGGGGCGCUGCAGGUGCUCAGCUCGGUUCAGGAACUGCAGAGGUACUCCUACUGCGGGGCAGCCUCUUGUGUACAUGUCCUGCCCUAGGUUAGGGCGGAAGGACUGUGGAUACUGGCCAUGCUGAAAGAGCACAAGAUGGAGGGAGAAGGAGCGAGAGCCAGCUCCAGUGGGGGGGAAACACACGAACACCAAACGCGCCAUGUGUCUAUCUAAGGUACCUUCAAAGAAGAGUCUGAAACUGCUUUUUCAAACAUUUCACCUCCGUGCACGCACGCAGUGAUCUACAUCGGGACGCGUAGGCCGCCCCUGGCGUGAAGGGAGUGGAACUGCGUCGACACAAG
rnacentral:lncRNA from 1 species